rnacentral:lncRNA from 1 species
CCUUGCAAUUUCUCUUCUAGUGGCCCUCCUUGCCAUAGUGAUAGCAAGUACCUUUGGCAGAGACCUUCUUCGUCUUCUUCUUGGAGAUGCCAACCUUAGCCCUUCUUGCCUUUCUUCUUGUUGAUCUUAUCGAUAAGAAGUAUCGGAGCCUUUUCAUCCUUGAAAUAGCUCUCUGCUGUCUUCAACAUGUUCAGCAUCUCAGCCAGGCUAGUGUUCAGUUUGUUCGUGUAGUAAUUUAUAACAAACUGAGAGAAGG